UAGGGAAUCUUCGGCAAUGGGGGGAACCCUGACCGAGCAACGCCGCGUGAGUGAAGAAGGUUUUCGGAUCGUAAAGCUCUGUUGUUAAGGAAGAACGAGUGUGAGAAUGGAAAGUUCAUGCUGUGACGGUACUUAACCAGAAAGCCACGGCUAACUACGUGCCAGCAGCCGCGGUAAUACGUAGGUGGCAAGCGUUGUCCGGAUUUAUUGGGCGUAAAGCGAGCGCAGGCGGUCAAUUAAGUCUGAUGUGAAAGCCCCCGGCUCAACCGGGGAGGGUCAUUGGAAACUGGUUGACUUGAGUGCAGAAGAGGAGAGUGGAAUUCCAUGUGUAACGGUGAAAUGCGUAGAUAUAUGGAGGAACACCAGUGGCGAAGGCGACUCUCUGGUCUGUAACUGACGCUGAGGCUCGAAAGCGUGGGUAGCAAACAGG
rnacentral:rRNA from 1 species